CUUCCACUUCAAUUUCCAUCUUUAAGAAGAAACUCAAGGGUCAGAGUCAACAAGAUGACCGCAAUCCCCUUGGACCUAGCUGUUGGGUGAAAAUACCCUUUUCUGCCGACUCCCUGCCUGCAGUGGAUUUCCUUAUCUGUUGCUUCAGGUAAGGGAACAAAUGCAGAAUUUGAAUGUCCUCAUAGUUCCCCCAAUGCUGCAGGUGGACAAAUAGGCUAAGGCCCCUGGCCCAGCUGGCAGAGGUAAGGAGCUGCCCGCCCGCCCAGCUCCCGCUGCGGCAGAGCCCCCAGCCGCCGCCUCCUGCCGCCCUCGCCUUUCCUGCAGGAGCUGUCCCGGCGCAGGCUUGCUCACCAGCGCCGCCCCGUGGUAAGACCGCAGAUCUGCGGAAGAAGGCCAGCCCUGAACCGCAACUGCUCUCAAGCCCUUCCAUUACAGUUACACGGAUUUUUUGCCCAACGCGGUGAUGCGUGCCUGUAAUCCCAGCUACUCUGGAGGCUGAGAGG
rnacentral:sRNA from 1 species